GUGUCUGACACAAACUCUGGUGUCUGACGACUACAUGUCCCAUGAGCCUUUGCCACAAAGGCCUCAACUUUAACUUCCCGUAAAGUCACUGCAACUGUCAUAACAGGUCAACGGUCGACGGCUGCUGAGAAUCAAUACACACACACACACACACACACACACACACACACACACACACACAAACACACACACACACACAAACACACACACACACACACAGAAUCAUGGUUGGAUUAUUUUCAUGCGAUUUUAAUGGAAAGAAGAAACACAGUGUCACAAGACACUUGAAGAACUUUUUUCUGUCAAUACAACAGCAAAAGUUAAACGUGUAAAGUCAAACGUGCGUAACAAAUCACUGAUGGAUUAUUUCUUCCAACGCGGUCGCGAUGUGGAGCCGUUUGACGUCGGUGAACACGCAGCAGAGCCCAAUAAGACGGCGGUGCCAAGCAUCAGCGCGACGGCUGCAGACUGAGGAACGAGACUUUCUGCAUUUUCCAGACUUCUGAUCAAAGAGAAGGAGGAGGAGGAAGAGGAGGAGGAGGAAAAGCUGCAUUAAAAUUUAAUAUCGCUGCAUGGUUGAACUGGAGAGAAAAGGAGAUUAUUAGACUUGGUUUAUGAGCCUGAACAAAUUAAAAUAUCUUUUUAUUUCUUAAUGUUUUUUUGUACAUUUGCACUUUUCACUGUUCUGUUUUUAUAGUGUGUUUGCAUCAUAUUUAAACUGUAUUAUGAUUAAUUACAACAAGUAAGAAUUGUUUUACAGAUUUUAUUGCCUGUUUGAUUAGAAUAUUAUAUUUCUUUGUUUGUUUUAUGCUUGUUUCUAUUUCUCUCUGCUGCCGUGAGCUAAUUUCCUGCUGCAGGAAUCAAAAACGUAAAUCCAGCUGUUGACUCGUGCAGCUUCUCUUUUGUUAGCAGCUGCUGACAUGAGGCAGCAUGGCUGACAGGGUCAGAGGUCAGAGGUCAGCCACCCCUGGCGCUCGCCAUCUGACCUUCUUUCAUUUACAUGCACGCUGACCUACAUUCUUAUGCCGAUUUGUUUCUCUUUCUUUUUUUUUUAAAUAUUAGAGAAUAAAUAUAUUUUAUCUCAACAUUAAACUUUUUUAUGUCAUUACACACAAAAUAAAAUACUAAUUAAAUUAUUUUUUUAAAUGUCCACAAACAUGUUUUCUAUUCGUCUUUAUUUCGUAUUUAAUUUAUUCAGUUGUUGUUCAUCAUUUAUGUCGUACAAGCUAUUUCAGUUUUGCAUUAUCAAUAUCAUUACAAUUAUCAUUGAUUAUUUUGGAUCUAUUGGCACAGAAGAUAAUGACAUCAUUCAUCAGCGGCAGAAAGUGAUUGAUCACAUGUUCGGGGGACGGAAGGUCUGUGUGUGUGCAAAUGAGAAGAGGCCAAUUCAAAAAGUCAUAUUUCACAUCACUGAUGUAGAUAUUAUUUUGUUUUUUAACCCUUGAGACUUGUGUUUAUUAAUUUUGACAAGAGUUUACAAACUGAUUCACUUCUAAAAUUAAAAAAUGUUGAUGCCUGGUAAUUUGCAAUUGAAUCAAAAUCAUAGUUAUGAAACAACUGGUUCUGACCCUCUCUGUGUCUCGUCUUCUGCUCAGCUCCGAAGCCACCGCUCAGAGGACCUGUGACCUCUGACCUCUGGGGGCGGGACAAUUCAUCACAAGCCUCCUCCGUAAAAAAAACAGCAGCAAAAGCCAGGCCAGCUGGACCUUCAGCUGACCUCGAUGCUCCACGAAGAAGUCGACCAGCGUCCUCGUCACCGUGGCCGACGUGUGGAAGAAAAACGCCGGGAUCCAAAGGAUGGCGCUGUCCAGCUUCUUCAGGCUCA